AGUGAACGCUGGCGGUAGGCCUAACACAUGCAAGUCGAACGGCAGCACAGUAAGAGCUUGCUCUUACGGGUGGCGAGUGGCGGACGGGUGAGGAAUACAUCGGAAUCUACUUUUUCGUGGGGGAUAACGUAGGGAAACUUACGCUAAUACCGCAUACGACCUACGGGUGAAAGCAGGGGAUCUUCGGACCUUGCGCGAUUGAAUGAGCCGAUGUCGGAUUAGCUAGUUGGCGGGGUAAAGGCCCACCAAGGCGACGAUCCGUAGCUGGUCUGAGAGGAUGAUCGGCCACACGGGAAGGGAGACACGGGCAAGACUCCGAGGGGAGGAAGAGGGGGGGAAUAGGGGAGAAGGGGCGAAAGCCGGACCGAGCAAUCCCGGGGGGGGGAAGAAGGCCUGGGGGUUGUAAAGCCCUUUUGUGGGGAAAAAAAAGAAGCGGGUGAAACCCCGGCUGUUGUGAGGGUACCCAAAGAAAAAGCACCGGCUAACUUCGUG
rnacentral:rRNA from 1 species